rnacentral:lncRNA from 1 species
GGCUUGCAGUAGCUGGCUUAUCUAGAAACUGAACAAUUUUGACUCUGAUUGCUUCAAGUUCAAGUCUUAGCUUUUUGAUGCUGAUGCGUCUUAUUCUGUACAUAAAUUAAGGCUCAUGAAAGGGAGGAACUUAUCCAUUGAUGAUGUGGAAGAGAAGACUCAUUUGAAUUAAGAAAGAGGGUAUGUAUAGAUGUAAGAAGAAGAGGAGGUGAGCUUCUUUCGCUUGUUUGAAUGAAUUUUGAUGACUUCUUGGUAAAGCCAAGAGCGGUGCAUUAAGUCAGCCGUACAUAAAUAAAUUUUGUUAUGUAUAUAUGUAUUAAGAAAAACUUGCUUUGUUGAAUUUUGGCUUUGUUGAAUGAUUAUGAUGACUUCCUGGCUCCUUUUAGAACUUGCUUUUUCUAAAGCCAAGAGCGGCGGCAUUGAGUCCGCCGUAGACCACUGCAGGCCGGUAUUCUCUGGUUUCGUAAUUAUGGCUCAGCAUCCGUUUGAUUCGCAGGAAGGAGGGAAAAAAAAAAGAGAAAUGAUUAAUAAAAAAAUUAUAUUUAGCUAAAAUUAAAAAAAGUUUUUUCAUAAAAAUAAAAUUUUUAUAUUUUAUGAAAAAUAAUUAUAUGGGAUAUAAAAGGUCAUGUUUUUAUCGGUCGAAAAUUGAGAUUUUUUUUUCAAAAUAUCUUUUACUUUUUAGAUAAUAAAAUAAAUUUUUUUUUUUGUUCAGACUGAAAAAAUAGAUACUCAACCAAAUAUAUGCUAUUUUGAAAUGUCCACUUUUUUUAUAGUCAAUCAAACAUGAAAAAGAAACUUUUGUAUGCAUCAUAUAUUUAAGCACUAGCUUCUCAGAAAAAAUAUUUCAGUAACAAAAUAUUUAUCCUCUAAAUCAAACAAGUCCUAAAUGGUACAAGUCAAUUUCUUAUCACCAUGAGAAGAGCUAGCAGAAUUUAGGACAUCAAAAAGCAACAAAUGAUGGAAUAACAUGUCGACUGCUGUCACCAUGAAACUUAAAUAAAGAAAAUAUCUUGUCGCUCUGUUGCAAUAGUUACAUGUCAAAAACUAAUUCACCUAUUGGAGAAGCUAUGAAAUACAAUCAUCAUUAAUUCUGGAGCACUUCUAGAAGAGAUGAGCUCUGAAGUCGAAUGAGUUACAUGAAGUCCGUCCAUAUCCAUACUACUACAGUCAUUUUCAGUCUCCGGUGGCAACUCCCUUCUUCUUCUUUUAAUCAUAUUUUUUUCAAUUUUUAGACUCUCUAGUUUAUUACUAAAAAGACGGUCUACAGUCUAUAGUUGAGAAACCUAAUCGGACCAUCUAUGCCGUUAGCUUAGACAUAUCAUGUCAUUUUCGAAUGAUAAGAUAAGAGAAUUAUGGAUUUGAAAGUCCUGGUGGAAGUGGACGGCAUGCUCAUCCUCCAAGUAUUCUAAUCCCUGACGUACGUCCACGCAUCAAAAAACAUUAAAAAAAACACACCGAUCCUGCUCUUGAUUAUAAAUUUGUAGCUCGUUAUGACUGGAUUUACAUUGUUUUUGAUGUGUGCGCGCCCGUACGUGCACGUAUGCUUAUGCAAGCACCAAGCCACAUGCAUGCACGCAUUUAUAGACGAUCUAACCAGCUAAAGAUGGGUUCAUUGGUCCAGUCUACACCAACCAUUGAUUCCUCCAUAAGCUCUAUUUCAAAUCCUUCCAUGCCAAUACUUCCUGCUGCAAGAUCAGACAUGUAGCUAGGCUUGGUGUGCGAUGAAAGUUGUACAUUCGCAUUUGCAAAAUGAUAUUAAUAAGAAUAAAGAAGUAAUAGUGAUGGUAUGUACACAUGUACAGAAUGGCGAAGGCAUGCAGUGUUCAAGACACAGUUUUCAUUGCAUUCUUGAAGCCUCUUCUUUUAGUUCCAACAAAUUAAUUUAGAGGGUUGCUGCCUCUGGAAUCCAUCCGACCGAUGGCAAGAGAAACAAACUUUUAAAUAAAUAAUCGUGUAAUUCCUCACUAAUAGGAUAAUUCUAAUUUGACUUUAAUGAAAAACCUCUUGGUGUGGGAUGAGGGAAUACAAAACGGUGAAUGCUUUAAUUUAGUGGUUCAUAAGUAUUUGCAGAGCAGUUUGAACUAGUAUUACCGUUGGUUAUGUACAAUAGGCCAUUUUAAUAGGUUGUUCAUUCCAGAUAAAUGCCAGAUAUCCAGUGGAAUGUACAUCACAGAAAGACAGACGAAGACUGCUUUAGAGAAGUGGAAAUUGCAUGCAAAAUGCUAUCCUUUUUCCAUCUUUCAUAAGAUCAAAGAAGGAAAAUAUUGAAGGAACAAUAGACUAACAUAUCAAAGUUUUGUUUUAAUCUCAGAGCAGAAAAUAGAUUUUGGAUCACUAGAUUCUAAACUAGGGGUGGCAAUGAAUUGAUACAUUGUAGGACAGGUUAGAUUAUCUAUUUAAUAAAAUAGUUAAGUUUAUAUUUGAAUUUUUGACUCAUUGAGUAAACAAAAUAGGUUUGGAUUAUUAGAUUUAUGAUAUGUCAUGUAUCCGACCCAACUUGUAUCUGGUUCGACCUAACCUCUAUCUGCUCCAACCUGAUCCUAUUGCCACCCCUAUUCUAAGUAGAACAAAAGGGAAGGGGUAUAGAAUAACUAAUUAUCCCAUUCCAAAAGGACAGGUAGGCACUUAGAACUUUGGCUAAGAAAACAUAGAGAACAACAGGGAGUAAGGUUGAAAUUGGAUUGGAUAUAGAUCAGAUACUAGUAUAUCCAUAUAUGUAUUUAUUUUAUUGAAAAAUGCAGAUACGGAUAUGGAUGUCAGUCGCAUGAAAAAAUUCAUGUCUAUAUUUAUUUUAAAUAAAUACGGAUACCAAUAAGAUACCGAAAGUAUAUAUAUAAAUAUGGAUAUAAAUCAUAUAAUUAAACUUUAUGACCAUAAAAUCAAAGAUAUUACUAAGUGGAUGAUAAAUCAAGUUGAUAGAUUAUUAAUAUGAUUAUUAUUUUUUUAAAAGUUUAGAAGUGCUAUAUAAAAUUAAAUAAAAUUAAUAAUAAAAUUAAGUAUUCGGAUAUAGAUUGAAUAGUUAUUUAUUUUUAUUCAUAUCUAUUUUUUUUUGAUGGAUAUCAAUACCGAUAUAAAUAUUGAUAGGAUGUCUAAAUUUUUAUUAAUAUUUGGAUAGAUUUGAAUACAAAAACGAAUCUAGAUGGAUAUUAUGUUAUCCAUAUUGAUCUCAAGCACGGAGUGGAUGAGGGGGGAGGCUAUUCUAAUCUAUUCCACCUAUUCCACCUCCGACCCCCUUGCUUUCCACACGGUCAUACUGCUGCCGGUCCUUGGCCCUCCACCUCUCCCAUCACAUCCACGCUUCUCGUCGUUCUUAUCUUUUGCUAGCUACCCUGAUCUCACCCUUGCCGUGUUCCGCCAUGAUGCCCUCUUCGUCCCUAACUCCAACCCCUUGCCCUCGUCAACCCCUUGCUGCGAUCCAGGCAUUCUAUUUCAUCAAAUAGCUUGUGAAUGGAUUUAAUACGGGCUUGCUUGGUGCGUAGGAAGGUGUUUUGAGUGGGGAUUUCAUCGAACAGCUUGUGGGUGGAUCUACUGGAGGCGAGUUUGGUGCCUGAGAAGCUAAGUCGAGCGGGGAAAUGGAACAGAAAUUGGUGACGAAGUUGGUCGAGAGGAGGAGGAGAUGUAGCUAAGCUUAGGAGAGCGCAUAUUUGUUAACCCUACCCCCUACCGAAAACCCGCAAGCCUUCUAUAAAAGUUUUCGUCCUGUUCCUAGUCUUUCACUCGAACCGAACGCAGAAAGGAGGGGGUGACGAUGGCCGCGCACGCAGGGGACGUCGAAGCAGUAAAUUUCGAGCCGGACAACGACGACCUCAUGGACGGGGACGAGGGCGCCGAGGUGGACGUCUCCUCCCCCACGGUCUCUGCCCCCAAGCUCCGCUCCACCAUAACCGGCGGCGCCUCCUCCUUCGCCGGCGGCGAGUCCUCCGUUGGGCCGAGGAAAGACCAAGGGGAGGGGCUUCCGCGAGGAGGCUGAGCGCAGCCGCAGCACCCGCCCCGCCUCCCGGGACUUCGAUUCCCUCGACUCCGACGGCGGCCCCGGUCCCCAGCGAUGUGAGCUUAAUCCAUCCACCUCCCUUUCUUUCCUUUUGAUUCUCCUUCCUUCGUUUUCGAGUACUUAAUAUUGUGUAUAUGACAUUGAUUUGGAUUUUUUUUUUUUCUGUAUGUCAUGACUUAAACAUCCUAUUUUCGAGGCAUCACAUACUUAUGAAUUUCCUUUUUUUUCCUAUAUAAAAAAGUUUCUAUUCAACAAUGUUAGUGGCUAGAAUUUUGCUUGAGACGGACUUGUAAAAGAACAGACAAUAGAGAGACUUUGAAUCUGAAAGGAAAAAAAAAACAACUUCCAAUAUUGAGUCAUGGAAUAGCCUUCAUUUGAAGAAGUUUUUGGUGAUCCAAACCAGAUACCAUGAUGUUAUGCCUGCUAGCUUUUGUGUUAGACAUCAAAGAAAUUGUCCAGACAGUGGUAGGUGCCUAAGGUUGUCAUGAACCAAACAGCUUCCUUGCUGUUCAUGAUAGAACCAGCUGACUGUAACCUCUCAUUUUAGAGAACAUGCAGGAAAAAGUAUGGAGUCACCAAGUAGCACAGAGGUGGCUAUAAAAAGUGAAAUUUCGGUUUACCAUUCUCCGGAUACACGAUGCUGCAUCUUACCUAGAUUAUUUGCACACUAUGAUACUCACUCUUGCUUGAUCACUUAAUCACGACUUUAAUAAAAUUCAACUUUUCAGGAGCAUUCCUUCUUGUGAUCUAGUUUUGUUCAUCCUCGUUUCUGAGGUUCAUUGUCUUGUAACAAUAACUGCAUGUAAAUUUUCUUGUGGUUCUCAUGAUUUUACAGCUUAUUACAGGAAAUUGGUAUUACAUGUUGUUUGUCUUUGCCUAUAUUCUAAUUCUAUAAAUGACAUUGCUAGUUCUUAACUAGAGAAAUGUUUCGUUUUUUUUUGAAGUUCAGUACGCAAAGCUGUAACUUUUCUUACUUUCACAAAAAAGAAAGAAUAGCAAGAUGAGCUGAUCCCUUGACCUUGAUGUUGCAUAUGUGUUGCCAAACAACUAAUUUGUGCAACAGAUGGCAUUACUUUUAGCAUUUAUAUUAUGCGAUAACAUUUGCUUCAUGUCUACAGCCAUUGAGGGAUGGAUUGUGCUAGUCACUGGGGUUCAUGAAGAGGCAAGAAGUUGAUCUCCAUAAAGCCUUCCGUGAAUUUGGCCAAGUUAAGAACUUGCAUCGCAAUCUUGACCGUCGGACUGGAUUUGUGAAGGUUAGUCAACCCAUUUCAUGCUGUUCUUUAGACACUUUUAUAAGUGUAUGACUGUCCUGAUAAGUUUUUUUGAUCCUGAGAUAUUUCUUCUAUGUUAGUUAGAUAGUUAAAAUCUCCUUUCUGCUCUCCAUUUUUCUUUUUAGUAAGGAUCCCUAGCUCUUCCUAAUUAGGAGGCCCAAGCUCAUGCCAAAUGAUCUUCAAGCUUCUAGUGCCACAUGGAAACUCUUCAAUUUGAUUCUAUUGUAUAGAAUUCCAGCUUGAUACAACCACAUUUCUUUAGGUGACAAGUUUUUUUUAUUUAUAUGGAUUUUAAUGGUAAUUUAAAUAGUUUUUCCUUUUAGCAUUCCUUUGACCACCUCUUCAAGUUUUUUUUUUCUCUUUCUUUUUGCAUGGACAGGGGACCCCAAGAACAGGGUUUCUUCUUUGCAUGUGGCUUAUUAGUGAUGCAAGGCUUAUUAGUUGAACCACCACCACCUACCUAACCGAGGUCUUUAACAAGUUGUUAUUAUGAGCCUGUUUCGUUUGUGCAUUCCCGUGUACUUCGCAAUUGCAUUUGAUGUCUCUAGAGUUUCCUUAGGACAGUUUUUGGUGUUCCUAUUACCGGCAACAAAGUGUUUGAUUUGCUUUAUUUUUUCAUUGUAGCUAUUUUCAUUAACUCACACUUAAUACAAUCCUUGCCUCUAAUGUCUUGCCAAACAUUUUCCGAAUCUGGGUCUUUUGAUUUGCUAAAAAAAAGCUAUAUGUAAGGCAAUAAAUAAAUCCCUAUUUCUGAGAUUAUUCAGAAGAAAGCAUGCUCUUUAAUAUUAUUGCCUUUCACUGAUUUAGAUACCAAAAUAGGUGAUGAUUUGAAAUAAGUUUUGGAUCUGAAAAAAGAAAUAUGAAUAUUUUAGAUUUUUGUGCCGAAAAUCUGCACAGGGAACAAAACUAUGAUCCUAAAGGUAAUUAUUUCUGAAAAUGGGGUGAAUCCUUAAGCUCAAAUAAAGUAGAAGGGAAGAUAGUUAAAGAUAGCAGAGAAUUCAAUUUCUUCCAAUCAUCAUCAAAGCCAAUGUAAGCCAUCUCCACUCUUCUUAUAAUUCAAGAAAUGAUAAGUCCUAUUAAUAGGAUUCUCAGUCCUAUUAGUAGGAUUCCUUAAUUUUCAAGACACCUAUGGAACUUUUUCCUUAAGAAGUAAAUAAGAAUAGAUGCAAACUAGAUGCUUUAAAACUAUAAAAAUUGCCAAAUUUAUAAAUGGAACUGACCUUGAAAGCCAUGAAGGGCGUCAGAGUGCAUGAGGCUUCCGCCACUAUGGGCUUUGGAGAAGGUUAGAUGUAUAUGUCAUGCUCCAAGCUUAGAGCACAACAGAUGCCGCACGCCUGCACGGCAGACCGUACAAGCAUACAAGGCUGUAGUCAUAUCAAAGCAAUGACAAUUUUCUAAAAUUUUAUUUUGUUUAAUUAAUAAUUUGCUUAAAGCAAACUUCCAAAGUUUCAAAAUAUCAUGUGACAACAUAAAUCAAUUCUAGCUAGUCUUUCUAAAAUGCCAAUAAUUAAAAAAUUUUUUCAAAAAUCUAGCGCACUCCUCAAGUCCCGUGAGAUCACGUAUCUGAAUCUGAAAAAUAGAAAAGUAUGAUAAUGAGCUAUACUAGCCCAGUAAGCAACAUAAUACCUCAGAGUGGGGUCAAAGUAUGCUAGGUAUUUAAUCAAAAUACAAAAUAAUGAUUGACAAAUAAUCAUGAAUAAUAUAUUUUACUUUUUGAAAUUUAUUAUUAUUUGCACAAAAAUUAUGAUACUAAAGUCUCAUUAUAAAUCGGCCAAGGCCACGUAACCUAGUGGCGUGGGUUGCACAAAGUGCCAAAUCUACUAUUAUUAACCAUCGAUAGCAACAGUGUCCAAAUCCACUAUUAUUAAUCACCGGUGGCAAUGGUGUCCAAAUCCACUAUUCUAAUCACUGGUGGUGCGGUGUCGAAACCAGUUUUUCAUAGAUACUAGUCGACAGGGCUAAUGAAUAAUUUUUAUUAGUGGAGGCAGAAUAGAUUAUAGCCAUGCUGAGAAUAUAUGCAUAUAGGCAAAAAUAGAUUUUUUAUAAUUUAUCCAAUCACAUUUUCCAGACUUCAUAACAUAUAACAUAAAUACAAAAUAAUUAUUAACAUGUUUGACCCGAUUAACUAAGUAUAAAGCAUAUGUCAAAAUUUAAUCAACUAAUAAUUAUUUUAUCAAAUAAUUUUGAAACACAUUUUAAAGUAUUAGGUUACUUACCUUUUUUCGCUUUAAAUCCUACUUCAGGCAAACAUGUCAAAUACACCUGUUAAUAUCAUUAAAAUAUUAUUAAUUUUAAUAUUACUUCAGAAGUUAAAAUUAAAUACUACGGNNNNNNNNNNNNNNNNNNNNNNNNNNNNNNNNNNUCGAAAGUGGCCAAAUCUAGCUGGGGUUGAAGUAAUGGCUGGUCAACCGCCCAGGUACCAGGGUGAUUCGGGGUUUUCAAAUUGGGUCAACUUAGAUCUGAGCUACAAGAAGAAUAGGGCUUACACUAGGAUCCCUGAGCUUGUUUAGAGAAGAAAAAGGAGGAGAGAGAAUCUCGACUCGGGUAUAGAUUUGCUCUGAUCCUAGUCUUGGGCUUGGUCAGAAUGUUUCAGAUUGACCAUUAAAGGAAAGGUCUAGAUCUAGUCAGAACGUGGGCUUGCUUAGAGAGGGAUAUAUAACACAAUCUAAGGCUAAUUGAUCUUUUUGGCUUGAUCCACUUAAUUAGGUUCCAUCAAAGGCUUGCCUUAUUAAAUCCGAUUUGACCAAAAUCGAAAAAAGAGAUAUUUGGCCUGAGUCGACCUGGAUCAAUCAAUGUAUCUAGUCCUAAAUAAACGGACUCGGCCAACAAUGGAUGAAUAGGGCCCAACAGGAAUACAACCCAUAAUAGAUGAGUAGGGCUCAAAAUGAAUGAUCACGGCCCAAAAUAAAGAAUUGGGCCUCACAAGGCCCAAAAGGAAUAUGCCCCGCAAUGGUGAACAUAGCCCAAAAUGGGUAUGGCCCAAAAGGGAUGAACAUGGCUCAUCAUGGGUAUGGCCCAAAAGGGAUUAACAGGGCCCAAUAAGACUCAAAAGGAAUACGACCUAUAGUGGACAUGGCCCAAUAAGGUGAACAGGGCCCAAAAUGGGCAUGACCCAAAGAGUGGACAGGGCUCAAAUGGGCAUGGCCCGAUAGAGUGAAUAGGGCACAACAAGGCCCAAAUGGGUACGACCCAAAAGGGCCCAAAACGAAUGAACUGGGCCUAGAUGAAUAAUCAAAGCCCAAUCACAACCCAAAACAGGGUUCUUCAUCCUGUUGAGAAAACAAGGAAGGAGGAAAAGAAGGAAGAGAGGAAGGAGGGAGGAGGAAGUUCCGAUGAUGGCUGGGCCUGGGUGGCCGGAGGUUGACGGCCACCCGACCGCAGUGGCGGCCGGUGGCCACUGUGGUGGCCGAAGGGGAGGAACACUACCAGAAAACACGCGUAUAGUGACGGAGAUUCCCGUCACUAUACCGUGUUUCCAGUUACUAAUACGGAAUUUGUGACCGGAGCUCCCGUCACUGAAUUAGUUACAAAAACAAGCGUCACUAAAUUCUCAAUGACGGCGGUGAUUCCCGUCACUAACCUUUGUGACAGAACCGCCGUCACUAAGCCGUUACAAAUUCAAGAAUUAAAUAUUUAAGAAAUUAUGUAUUUUCCGUCACUAUCCAGUUGCGGCGUUAGUGACGAAGGUAACUUGGUCACUGUUUUUGUCACAGAAUACGGUCACAAGUUUGGUCACUGAUCUGUCACAACCUUCAGUGACAGAUUUAGUCGUCACAAACAUGGUCACACAUUUUGUCACUACAUUUGUCAUUAAUCCCGUCACUGACCCUCAAGACAAGGUUACCGUCACUAAUUUGUUACAAACGCUCUGAGCAAAAUCAAUUUUUAUUAACCAAAAUCCUGUCACUAAGUUUAUGACUGCUCGUCACAAUACUUGGUAAACAAGUUAGUAACCAAAAUUUGGUCACUGAUCACAAUCUAAUAACCUGGUAUAUUUGGUACAUUGAUUGGCUCAUAAUAAUAAUAAUAAUAUCAUUAACAGCAAAGUCAUUCAACAUUACGCAAAAGUCAUUUAAAAUAUCAUUCAAAAUAGGCAUCAACAUGUCCUAAAUCCAUCAAAAUCAAAGUCUAAAAAUAUGUCAUAGAGAUCAACAGAGAUUUCAUUCCUCCNNNNNNNNNNNNNNNNNNNNNNNNNNNNNNNNNNNNNNNNNNNNNNNNNNNNNNNNNNNNNNNNNNNNNNNNNNNNNNNNNNNNNNNNNNNNNNNNNNNNNNNNNNNNNNNNNNNNNNNNNNNNNNNNNNNNNNNNNNNNNNNNNNNNNNNNNNNNNNNNNNNNNNNNNNNNNNNNNNNNNNNACGCGUGUACAGCUCUGGAGCUUGAUUUGUAGAGAUGGAAGAGGAUGAUGCUUGCCCAAUAAUUCCAGUGAGAUCCUCUAGGGGACUAAAGCCAUAGACAUCUGAGGAGCCUCUGAGGUGGAGGCAUCACCAUAUUUUUUGGAGUAUUCAGCUGAAUACUUUACCUGCCAGUUGAUUUAAAAGAAGAGAAAAAUAUUAUGGUGGAUCAAACAAGAGAUAAACAUGAGCAAGCUCAAUAAUAUUUAUGAAUCAUAAAAAAAUUAUACUUACCAUGACAGCUUUCUCUAAAAAUCAAAAAAAUAAAACAACAUAAGAAAGCCUAGAAAAUAUUAGAGAGAUGAUAAAAAAAGAAAACAACAUAAGAAAAAUAGGACCAUUAAAAACACGAAAGGCAAGAUCAUAAAAAAUGUAAAAGAAACAAAAACACUGUUGAAAUAUUUAUGAAGAUGAGAAGUUAUCAUAAGCAUGACAAAAAUAAAUCAUUCAAUCUUGUCCCAGCAUCAUUGACAUUAAAAAAGCAUUCAAUCUUUACAAAAAGCUGAACAAAAGAAAUUAAUCUUUACAAGUUAUCUGUUCAUUCAUCUAAUACCAGCAAUAUUCAAGAAGCAUUUAAUCUUUACAGAGACAAGGAAUACAAGUCAAAUCAUCCAAAUUUACAUAUGGAAUACUAUCUGCUUCACAUAGAACAAAUGUCAAUAUACAUGAUCGCCUCUGAUGCUAAGAAAGCAUGGUACUUCUUAGCAAGCUUUUUGACCAGCUUCUUGAUUGCACACUGGAAAUAAGUCACAACCAUGAAGCAACACCACUUUCCACCACUUUCCAUUUUUCCUUGCAGAUGAACAAUGAUUGUAGAAAUGAAUAACAUGACGAAGAAAUUAAAAUCCAUGAACUUUACAGAGUCCCAACCCAUCAACCCUCAAAAUUACAACAGCUUAUUUUUCAACAGAGCUUAUUUUAAGAUUACAACAGAGCUGGCAAAUGGGUUUAUUUUAGACAUCAAAGGUCUAAAAUCCAUGAGCUUAUUUUAAGAUUACAACAGAGCUGGCAGAAGAAACCAUCAAAGGUCUAAAAUCCAUGAGCUUAUCUUCAUAUGAAAUUACAACAGAGCUGGCAAAUGGGUUUAAGAUUUUUUAAACAGAGCUUAUUUUAGACAAGUCUCUCCACUUACUAUAAUAAUCUACUGAUUCAACAUGUAAGGUUGCAAGCAAGUUGGGCUGCAAAUGGGUUUAAGAUUUAUUUUUUUUGUUAAAUAAUUCAUUGGGUUUUCAACUCGAGUUGCAUCAAGAAUAAUCCCAGCAUAUUAAAAUGGGAGGGGGGCUUCGACGGAUCCACAGGCGGAGAUGAACACAUAUAGUCUUUCUUUGUACGCUAUGCCAGAUAAUGACUAGAUGAAGAUGAACACAAAGAGAUGCAAACACAGGAUCAUGUAUAUAAUCGAAAAGCGUGGCGAUCAAGCGCGACGUCGGAUCCACAGGCAGAGACCCUCGGUAGGUUCCUUCCCCCUUCCUCUUCCUCUUCUUCGUUUCUUUUAUUUUGUUAUCAUGGGGUAAAAGGAAAUGGGGUUAGGGUUUACCUCCCGGAAGAACCAGUUGUGGGUUCUGAAAACCCUAGCUGACGAGCAAGAAGGAGGGGGGCGUCGACGGGGUGAUGUAGCCGCGAUGAUCUCAUCCCGGGUGAGAAGGAGAUGAACACAGGCGCCGAGCAAAGAGGUAAUGAAACCCUCGGUAGCUUAGGGUUUACCUCCGGGAAGAACCAGUUGUGGGUUCUGAAAACCCUAGCCGACGAGCAAGAAGGAGGGGGGCGUCGACGAGGUGAUGUAGCCGCGAUCGGGAGGCGUGAUGUAGUCGUGGUCUCUAUCGACGGGGAGGCAAAAAUGGUCGGCAAGGGGGAGCCGGAGAGGAGAGGCCGGAGGUGGAGGAGAGGAGAGGAGAUGGGAAGCCGCGAUGCCAAAUCCCUAACCCUCCAAUCGGGACGAUGCCAAACUUUUAAUCGAGACCGAGGAUAGGGAAGUGCUUCGAGUCACAGCUCCAAAUCGGGACUCGACUAAGUCGGUCUGCAAGCCAAAUUUCAUAUCAAACUAUUUUUUAUCUAUAAGGCUGAUUGGACGGAACUUGCAGGAAAAAAUAUUUUUGAACUAUAAAGCAUGGUAGAAAAAUCCCAGACCAUCUUCCAAAAUCCAAUCCCAUUGCAGGAAAGUAGCAAUAGGGGUGCAAAUGGGUCAUAGCCGACACCAUGAGAUUUGAAAAUGAGAAGAAGAAAUUUGAGUUUUCUGGAGAGCGAUUGGAAUUUGGGUUAUCGAAGAAAUUUGGGCGGGACGGCGGGCACACUUAGUUUCAUUUUGGAUUUUCCUCCUUUUAUCUUUUUUUAAAUUUAGAAUUACUCAAAAAUAAUAUUUUUAAUAUUUUUGGAAUUAAAAUUAAAUUUGGUGAUGGAAAUUUUUGUCAAUAAUCUGUCACCGCCAAAAAUAAUCUUUUAAAAAUUUAUAAAUACUUGGGUUACGAUAUUUGUGACUGCUGAAUUUGUCACUGUUUGGUUGCAAUUUCGGUUAUCAUUUUGCUGACAGAUACCCCGUCACUAUGAGGGUCACUAAGUUUUGGCGCCCAUCCUACCCACGCAUUCUGUGACCGGUCUGUCACUAAUCGGUCACUAAGUUUACAUCACGGUGACCAAAUUUCUGUCGGUCACUAAUCAGUCACAAAUAGUGACUGAUAACGGUCCGUCACUAAUUUUCCGUCACUAUACGCGUGUUUUCUGGUAGUGAAAGAACCAAGAACAAUCUCGGUUGGGUCCGAAAUAGAUUAUCUAAGAAUAGAAGAACAAGGAAAUGGGAGCUCAUCGGCGAGUCUAUGGAGGGAACGUAUCUCGGCCGAGGGUGGCUCAGUCCGGCGGUCAAGCGGCGAAUCUCAUGGUUGCGGCAACGAUAGCUCGAAGUCGAUCUCAAAACAGAGGAAAACAUGGUUCAUAGAAAGGUCUUUGGAUGACGCUCGGUUGGGGUGGCAUGCUGGCCACCGGAGGAGGAGAACGAGCGGGAGAAGAGGGAGGAGAGAUUGCUUGGCAGUGAUGGCUCGGUGGCAGAGAUUUAUAGGUGGAUUUCGGCUCAUCACCGUCGUGAUUCUUGUGGCGGUUGAGCGGAAUCGACGACCGUUCAAGAAGCCGCGGGGCGGCCGUGGGGCUGUUGCGGAGCACCCACCGGGCUGCCAUGGAGCGCCCGCCGCGCCUUCGCUCCAUCUCGCCCAAGAAAGGUCGAGCAGGGGAUCGCGAUCGUGAUCUCCUAUUUCGAUUCUUCUAUUGGGCCAAGGGCUAGAGUGGAUUGGGCCUGCCGACUUCAACCCAUAAAGGCCCUAUUCUCACAUUCUGCCCCCUCAUCUCCUUAAGAGAAUUUCGUCCUUGAAAUUUGAGAGAUCUAGGCCUUCCAAAUGUAACAUGCUUAGCCUAUUGAGUAAUAUAAAUUCAAGAUCUGAUUCUUCUCGAUCAUAAUUAGUGUGAUAGAUAAUUUUGCAUCAAUCAUAAACUAGCAUGAUUGGCACUAGAGAAAUGAAUAACUAAAAUCUAAGAUUGAAAUUAUCAUCUUGAUGUAAGUUCACUUAGAUCGGAUUGGGAUCAAUUUAGAACUAGGUAGAUUAACAUUAAUUAUAUUUAGGAUAAAACUUGAAAUAAAAUGGAUUUGAUACACAUAUUAUGGUAGGGUGUUGAUCCACAAAAGAUAAUGACCAACCUUAGAGUCAAAUCCUUAUAUGGCUAGAAAUGUGAUUCACAAAAUGAACAUGUAAUGAUGAUUAUUAGACAACAAUGCUCUAUCUCAAAAAUGAUUGACAUCAAAUUACAAGAGGAAGUCUGAGAAGGCAAAGUAUUGAUAUCAUGAUUCAAUAUGUCACAAGGCUUAAAAUUUAACUUAAAUUUGUAAAUCAUAAAGAGGGAGCGAAUGAUGCAUGAUUUAUUCAGAUACUUAACAAAUUAGACCAUUUUUGAUCAAUAAUUAACUAACCUUGGUCAUGAUUUUUUUUCUUAGCAUACCAAUAAUAAAAGAAUCUACCAAAACAUAGUCCACUUUUUUUUGACCAGUUUAAAAUAACUUAGCUCACUAUGCUUUCGCUGUGCAAUUUUGAUCAAUAUUUUUCAAAAUUUCUUAAUGAUUCCAGAUCAUCCACAUUUUUUUUUAAUAAAAUUCAAACAAAAUUUUAUCCUUACUUUCCAAGUACACUAGAUCAUGAUUAACCCGCAAGAUAAUUGUUAUAUUUGUACCAUCGUAUGAUCAAAUAAUCAUAUACUAGAUCCAAUAUAAACUAAGCCAGCUCUAGAUUUUCUUGACAAUAAACAAUUUGCUAUUGAUUUCUCUUUUAAGAAUAUCAAUUCUAUGCCCCCAUAAAUUAAAAGAUUCUAUAUUAACUUACUCAUGAGCAUAUUCAACUAUCUCAAAUAUUUUCUUUUAUGUUAAACUAAUUUGGACCUCUCAUGAAAUCCCCCUAGCAUUUCUCCUAUGGUGAUGCAAAAUCCAUAAUCAACUCAUGGCCUUGAUUUAUAAAUAUUUAACUUACAAAAAUCUAAUAAUCUGGUUCAAAGAUUUACAAAAAAUUCCAUCAAGAUUAUGCUCUAUGAUUUUACAUUGAGAUCAAUUCCUCAAAUAAGUAAAAUAUUUUUAUUUGCAAUACUGCAAACAUUUCAAGAUCUUGUAAUUCUACUAGACUUAGAAAAUCUACUCAAAAUACCAUUUAACUAUUUCAUCCUUUUAGUAAUAGUCCCCUUUUUUUAUUUUAUUUUUUAUAUCUCAAGCGCAUCCAUCUAGAAAUUAUCUUUGAGUCAAUGGAUACAUUCAAGUAACUAUAAUUCAAAAUGAAUUGAGUCUUAAUUUAAGUAGACGAUUCCAAAUCAACUCAUAUAAGUAAAACUAUCUAGAAGAAUUUACUCAUUGCUCUACCAAAUUAUAAGACCUUAAAUCAGCACAAAUGAGUAAAACCAACUCAAUCAUCUCUCCAAGAGUUUUCUUUACCGAGAUCUUUAGCAUUUAUCAAAAAUCUUCCAUCAUAACCAUGUAAGCCUCUAAAAUUUAAAUUCUUCAAGCAAAUCUAGAUUUUAUCAGCAACUGCAGCAAUAUUGACAAAAGAUCCUAGAUCAACUUAUAAAUCCAAACUUUGAAUUGAAGUUUCAUAUACAUCACAUAGUCUCCGAUAGAUAUGAAUAAGUUCUAUGAUUUGGAUCCAAAAAUGAUAAUUAAAAUAAUUAUUGAUUCUACCAAGAUGAAUACUUUACGAUCUGCAAUAAAAUCAAUUAUUCAAGAUUGAUAUUUAUUCUUGAAUUCUUUCAAAAGCAUAAAUUAUAAAUUUAAGAGCAAAGAGAUCUGUUGUGGUUGAAAUUUGGCCUGAGGGCGACCACGCCGGAAGGGAGCCGAGGAGACGCCGGCCGGGGAUGGAGGAAGAGGGCUGCCUCCGGUGGUCCGGGGUACCUCCGAGAAGACGCUGGCUGAGAUGAAGAAAGAAGGUCCUUCCUUUAGUGCCAAAUGUUGUAGUUGAAAUUUGGCCCGAGGGCAACCACACCAGAAGGGAGUCGAGGAGACGCCGACCGGGGAUGGAGAAAGAGGGCUACCUCCUACGCUCCGAGGUACUUGCACAAAGCCUUGGCUGGGGAUUCCGGCGAAGGCCUUCUGAUGGCUAAGUUAGCCGAGCUUUUGGAGAGGUUCUUCAUGGCUUAGAUGGCCUCUUGUAGCUUAAAAUAGCUUAUAAUGGCUUACCGAAGGCCUUUCCUACUCCCUUUUUAUAGGGUGAGAGUCUCGGCCAUUACCUAAAAUUUCAAGUCGAUUUGUGAUCAGCUGGCCAUCAAUAGAAGACGGCGUACAGUACGGAGAUCAAUCAUGCGGAUGGAGAAUUCGGGAGAUAUUUUUCCGGAUCUGUUUUGAGGGUCCACCACGUCAUUCUAAACGAAAGUGGUCGAGAGGAUUCUUAAAUGCGUCGUGUGCGCACUCACUUCAAAGCGUUACCUGGUGGUAUGCGAGGGGCUAGUCAUCAAUGUUCUACCCCCCGAGACGGCUGUCAUAAUGACCAAUUUUUAACACCGCGAUCCAGGAGGAUCUGCUGAGGGAGCCUCUAGGUCUACCACGUGGCACGAUCUGGCCGCUCGGCGGCCUAGGCAUGGGAUCCGCAGGGUCUUCGACGGGAUCAAGGUUGAUAGGGCCGUUGUCGGCUUAGCCUCGGGCCAAGGUCGGCUCGGCCUUCAGCGGGGGCCGAGGUCAGCCUGGCUCUAGUCGAGGUCGGCUCGGCCUUCGGCAUGGCUGAGGUCGACCUGGCCUCCCCCUUGAGGUCAGCUCGGACUUUGGCGGGCUGAGGUCGGCUUGGCUCUUGACGGAGCGUCGUUGCUUGGCUCUUGGCGGGGCCGAGGUUAGCCUGGGUCUUGGCGGGGCCAAGGUCAGCCUGGCUUUUGGCAGAGCCGAGGUCAGCCUGGCCGAAAUUAGGAGACUCCAUGCUGGAAUAGAACAAUCCAUUUUGGCUCCCAUCAAGAUCUAUACUAAAACAUUCCAAAUCCAAAAUCAGCCAAUGUAGGAACCAACAUUUCAAUAAUCCUAGACAUGAAAUGUUAGAUUUUUUUUUUUUUGCACAAUAGAUAGAAGAACCUAAUAACACAAUAAUAUCCAUAUCAGUCAAAAUCAAAAAUACUAUAUUUCCAACUAAAUUUCUCUUAACAAGAAAACCAUCAGGAACUUUUCCAAAUCAAAGAAAUUCUAUUUUUUGACCAACCCAAAAAUAUUUUAAUCCACCAAUAUUCUCAGGGUUUAAAGAUUGACUUUCUAUCAAAAUAUCAAUCUUAAUUGUUUCAAGUCUCCAAUAGAGCUGAAGAAGAACUCUUAAGUCUCAUCCCCAAAUAUAUUUUCCUUAUAUAUAACAAUUUCAUGUAUGAUCCAUAUACAGAUUUUAACAUCAAAAAACAUUUUAAUGAAUAUAAUAAAAUCGUUCCAAAUUCAAACAUUAACAACUUUUUAUGAACGAACUUUAACUUAUUACCAAAAUAGUUGACUUCAAGCUAGAAGUAGUAUCACAGUACCCGAUAUUAAGUUGAACUUACAAAUUAACUAAUAAACAGAUAAUUAUAUUGUACGAUAAUGUUCCAUAGAUAAUACUCCUUCACUUAAUUUUAUCGAAAUCCUAUUUAAUCAUAACCUGAAAUGCAAAUUACUUCAUAAAAAAAUCCCAAAAUAGCUUAUUCACACUUUGGCUACGAGCACAGUUAACUGGCAUUUUGAUUUCAAUAAGCAUCUCAAAAAAAAAUCAGAUAUAAUAACACAAAUUUAUCAAUAACAAAAGUACAUAAAGACAUUCGUCUCAUUGUCUAAUGUCUAUCCAUCUCUCAAAUUUUCUGACGAAUCCUAACAAUCCUAAAACUCAAGCUCCAUUCGACUAUUUCAAACACAAUCUCUAGUAAUCUUAAACCUAAGCUUUGAUACCACUUAAUCUAUCACGCUCCGAGUCCGGAACGCAACAGAUGCCACAUACCUGCAUGGCGGACCGUACAUGCAUGCAAUGCUGUAGAUCAUAUCAAAGUAAUGACAAUUUCCUAAAAUUUUAUUUUGUUUAAUAAAUAAUUUACUCAAAGUAAACUUCCAAAGUUUCAAAGUAUCAUGCGACAACAUAAAUCAAUUACUCUAAUUAGUCUUUCUAAAAUGCCAAUAACUGAAAGAAAUCUUCAGAAAUCUAGCACACUUCCCAAGUCCCGUGAGAUCAUGUAUCUAAAUCUGAAAAAUAGAAAAAUAUGAUAAUGAGCUACACUAGCCCAGUAAGCAAAAUAAUAUCCCAGAGUGGAAUCAAAGCAUGCUAGAUAUUUAAUCAAAAUACAAAAUAAUGACUGAAAAAUAAUCACAAAUAACAUAUUUUACGUUUUGAAAUUUAUUAUUAUUUGCACAAAAACUCUGAUACUAAAUUCUCGAUAUAAAUCGACUAAGGCCAUAUAACCCAGUGGCAUGGGUUGCACAAAGUGUCAAAUCCACUAUUAUUAACCACCGGUAGCAAUGGUGUCCAAAUCCACUAUUAUUAAUCACCGGUGGCAAUGAUGUCCAAAUCUACUAUUCUAAUCACCGGUGGCGCGGUGUCAAAAUCAGUUUCUCACAGAUACAAGUCGAUAGGGUCAACGAAUAAUCCCCAUUAGUGGGGCCAGAAUAGAUCAUAGCAAUGCUGAAAAUACAUACAUAUAGGCAAAAAUAGAUUUUUCAUAUUUUUUCCAAUCACAUUUUUCAGACUUCAUGUAAAUAUUGGCCAGAUGGGCCGACCUGGACCAUAAUCGGUGGCCCAUCAGGAGACCCACUUGGUAGCUUCAGGAGGAAGAUGGCGGUGGAGAUCGCUAGCUGUUGAGGCGGUUAUAACCGCCUAACAGCCACGAUCACCAUCCCUCUUUGAUCUUGACCGAGGGCUAUAAAAGCCCAUAGAUUCCUUAGUGAGGAACUCCAUCGACCACCCUCUCACUGCCUUUUACUCUCUCUUCCUUCUGUGCAAAAGAGCCGGAUCAGGAGCGGCGGUGCCGAAGGAGGUAUCUCCAGCUCGACACCGCCGCUAAAUCACCAAAGGAAACGAUCAAGCCGAUAGAAGAGACUUCUCAGCUCCUUCACGGGCCUAGGUAACCCUUAAACCCUCUCUUCCCUCAUGAUUCAUGUUCUGUUUAGCUUAGAUUUAAUCUAGCUAUGAGAUAAAAACAGAGAAAGAAGGAAAUAAAAUAAAAGAAAAAUAGAAGAAGAAGAAGAAGAGGGGAAGAGGAAGAAUAGGAAAAUGGAAGAUGAGGAGGAAAGGAAGGGGAAGAGCUUACUUGGGGUCCUCGGCUAUGGAUCCGGCACGGUGAGCUUGGCCGCAGCCCUCCUUUGGUCACGGCGAGUUCGGGCAUAGCCAUGGCCGCGGUGGUGGGUUCCUCCCCCACCGCAGUGGGAAUGAAGGUGGAGCCGCUGGCUCCGACCGCAGGCUUCACUAGCCUUCGGUCGAAGCUGCGGUGGGCUGGAGGCCCCUUCCUCUCUGGGGGUGGUUUCGAACCCCCAUUCCCACCAAGGAGCAGAGGGGGCCGGCCACCGCAAGCGCGGCCACAGGCCUGGCUGCGGGCGUUGCCGGUCGCGGCCGACCUCUCCCGUGAGGGGGAGCCCGCCCUCCUCCCUUCGCAAGAGAAGAAAGGAGAAGAAAAGGGAAAUCUUCCCUUUCCCUCUUCGCGGGAGGAGAAAAUUCGUAAACUUAGGUUCGGAAAACUUUAAGGAUUUCCGGGGAAAGGAAGGUUUCCCCUCCCCCGAACCCAGAAAGAAGAAGGAGAAGAGAAGAAGAAAAGGAAGAAGAAAGAAGAAGGUUCGGAAAGGAUGAAGAAGGAAGAAGAGAAAAAGAAGAAAAGAAAAAGAAAAAAAGAAGAAAAAGAAAAGAAGAAAGAAGGAAAGAAAAAAAAUGUUAUGGGCUUGAGAUGGGCCUGAUUCCUGUAGUAGGCUUCAAAUGAAUUGGGUUUUAAAGGCCUGAGGCCGGGCUGGGUUUGGUCCGAGCCAAGUAUUCUUAAACCCAAAACUAACUGGGCCUGAAGAGCACAAAUCUUAAUAGAAGGACUAAAUUGAAUAUAGUUUGAGGCUAGGUUCCCUUUUAACUUAACUAGAACUAAUAGGGUUUAAUUAUAAGUUAAAGGGCCUGAAUACAAAUGCGCCCAAUAACUAAAUCAAGCCCAGAAUCUAAUUAAACUUCAGGGCUGAAUGCAAAUGGGCCCAGACCUGAACCAGAGGGCAAUUGGGUCUAAACCAGAAGUUGAAAUUGGCUCAGACCUGAACCAGAAGCUGGUUCAGACCUGAAUCAGAUGUUGAAUUAGGUCUGAACCAGAACUGAACUAGACCUGAACUCAUAAUUGAAUCAAAUCUGAGCCAGAAAAUUGAUUUGACCUGAACCAGAAAUUGGGUCAGACCUGAACCAAAAAACUGAUUAGACUCGAAUCAGAAAUUGGGUCAGACCCGAACCAGCAGGUGAACCAGACCUGAACUAGAAAUUGGGUCAGACCCGAACCAGCAGAUGAAGCAGAAUUGAAUCAGAAAUUGAAUCAAAUCCGAAUCAGAAGUUAGAUUAGACCUGAACUAGAAAUGAAAUUAGGUCAUGGGGUUGAACCAAAAAUUGAAUUAGGCUAUGGACCUGAAAAUAAAAUUGAGUUCUAUGGAUGGGCUAUAAAUGACUUCAGAUUAUAAAUAAAUAGAAAUUAAAUGUGCAAGUGACAUGUAAGUUAAUGAUAUUGCUAGGUAUUGGAGAAUUGACAUCUAAGCCUAAGAUUUGGUGAGCAAAUUAAGGUAAGUGACCCUGACAUAAUUUUAUGUUUUAUCAAAUACAUGUGGCUAUUUGAUUAUGAAAUUGUAUAUGACUAUUUAUGUUUUCACAAAAUUAGGAUUAAGUAUGUGUUAGCAAAUGUUGCAUAAUUUUAACUUAGAUGACAUUCAUCAUGAUUAUCAUGCUAUGUAUAUAAAUUUAUGAUGAUAUAGAAGUUGUAUGAAAAUUAAAGUUUGCAGCAUGAUCAUGAAUUUUAUACAUUAUGAGGCUAUUAUUCACUUUUCAAUAUAUCUAUGAGAUAAGAUUUAUGAAAAGCAUGAUAUGUUUUAAGAACUCUCAGAUUGCUAGGUAAGAUCUCCGCUAGUGGGUAAUAGUAACUCGGUAUACAACCUUCGCCAGUGAGUAAUAGUAACUCGGCAUAAGACCCCCGCUAGUGGGUAAUAGUAACUCGGCAUAAGACCUUCGCCAAUGGGUAAUAGUAAUUCAGCAUAAGACCUUGCCAACGAAUAAAAGUAGUUGGUAAAGAUUACGACCCUGUCAUGGGUAAUAAUAGUGACCAUAGCUGCACUACCAUCUAAGAGUACGGAUUUCAAAGCAUGAAAUAAUGGCAAAGUUUUUAUGAUGCAUAACCAUAUUUAUGAACUUGCAUGAUUGGAUAUACAUUGUUUUAUUACUAGUUUGAUUAUAUGUUGUAUGAAUUGCUUACUUUGUUACAACUACUAGUUUUUUAAAAUAGUGCACUAGCAUGCAACACAUUAUGCUUGAUGUGGUAAGAUUAUGCAUGGUUACUUACUGAGCUUUUAUAGCUCACACCAAUUCAUUUAUGUCCUUACAGAUAAAUAGGACUGCUAGGGGCAAGGAGCUUGACUCGCUCCAGGGUUUGAGAUACACUGAAUAUAAUUGUACAAAUUUUUAGAAGCUCUGUAUCGCUCCUUAUUGUUCAAACAUUUUAUGACAUUCAUGAAAAAUAUAGUUCAUUUGAAUUUCAAAUUUUAUUUGGCUGCAUGCUAUUACAGGCAAAGGUUUGCAAUAGCACGACCGUGUCAUGAUAUAAAUUCGGGGUGUGACACUUCAUAACAUAUAACAUAAAUACAAAAUGAUUAUUAACAUAUUUGACCCGAUUAACUAAGUAUAAAGCAUAUAUCAAAAUUUAAUUAACUAAUAAUUAUUUUAUCAAAUAAUUUUGAAAACAUCCUUUGAAGUAUUAGGUUUGAGGAUGAUAGUGGUAUUUUGAUGCUUAACACAACCAUUGAAGAAAUAUCUAAUUGAAUAUUACAAGGUAAUAUGAUACAUCAUUACUAAGUCCGUCACUCUCGGUACAUUAGUAGAAUGAGAUCAAGAUGUAUUUUAAUGAUUAAUAUUGAGAUAAAAUUUGCGAUAAAAAAGAGAUAGUGAAUUCUAAAUUCUAAUUCGGCAAAGGUUCAAGUAAAACGUACUCUUAAGUGGACAAUAGUAAUUUUUAUUGUUAAGAGUAUGUAGCAUCACCAUAACAUAUAUUCAAAAUUGCUUGAAGAAUAUUUCAUUGAUUAUAUGGAUGAAUCUAACCCUAAGUUGCAGCAAAGUGUGGAAUGAGUCGACCCCAAGAUUGUUGGAGUCGACCCCGGCACAUCAAGAACCAUCUGGCACACUUCUGCAAAAAUGGCACGGAUGAACAGUACUUGGGUCGACCCAAGUAAAGGCUGAGUCGAUCCCAUCUUCAAGCCUCAAGAAAACAAUUCUCUGGAAUCCCUAAGAGGGUCGACCCAAAUGGAACUUGAGUCGACCCAACCUUGAGUCGACCCCAACUGAACAUGAGUCGACCCAAAGGCUAUGUCAUUCAAAAAUCGGUUCUCUGGAAUCCCUGAGAGGGUCGACCCAAGUGGAAUUUGAGUCGACCCAAANNNNNNNNNNNNNNNNNNNNNNNNNNNNNNNNNNNNNNNNAUUCUGUGUUUCCUGAGAGGGUCGACCCCAAUGUUGCAUGAGUCGACCCAAGUGAAAGUUGGGUCGACCCCAGUGAAAGUUGAGUCGACCUAAGCACGGGCAGAAGCAUAACGGCUAGUUCUGCAGAAGUACUUUUUGUCCUCCCAACAGCAAGUAACGGCUAGUUUUUGAAAUCUGACCAAUGAGGGGUGUCCAAUGGAUGAGGAAAACUAUUUAAAAGGACACUAUUCAUCAAAGAAAAUAUCCUUUUUGCGAAAUAUCAAAGUUUACACAAGAGAGACAAGUGCCCUAAUCUUCUUCAUCCAAGUGCUUCAUUCAAGAGUUAAAAGAAAGUGGUUGAGCAGAUUCCAAGAGAUAUUAAGAGCUUCAUCCACCCUUGAAGAGUGAAGCAUUCUUGACAAAGAAGAGAUAAGUCUCAUCAAGCGAUAACUAUAUUCUAAACUCUUCUUUGCAGCUUAUAAUUGUUAUAUUUGCUCAUCUAGGAGUUUCAACUUUCUUCUCCUUUUAAUCACAUUGUAAAGGUUUGUUGGUGAGCCCGUAAAACCAACGGUCAAGGUUUGUUGGUGAGCCCGUAAAACCAACGGUCUAGGUUUGUUGGUGAGCCCGUAAAACUAAUUGUAAAUGUUCGUUGGUGAGCCCGUAAAACCAACAUAGGUUCUUGGUGAUCCCAGAAAACCAAAGUGUAAAGGUUUUUGGAUUGUGAGCCCGGAAAACAAUCCAACUGUAAUCCGCGGGAUUAUAGUGAAUUUCCAAGGGGUCGCUUGGGGAGUGGACGUAGGUGCUUAGGAGAGCACUGAACCACUAUACUUCUUGUGUUUUUGCAUUGUGUAUUGUUUCUAAAUUUCACUCAUUCAUCGAUUAACUAAAUUAAGAUAGUAAAAAUUUAGAGAAACCAAUUCACCCCCCUUGUUGGCUUGUCACCUUGGGCAACAAGUGGUAUCAGAGCAAGGUGCUCACAUAGUAUUUAUUGAUCUCACAAUCAAGAGACAAAGAUCAUGACAACCCAAGUAGGAUGUUCUAUGAGUGAGAGGCAAUCUACAAAUAGACCUCCUCUAUUUAAUGGCACUAAUUACACAUACUGGAAAGUUAGGAUGGGGAUAUUCAUUCAAGCUCUAGACUAUGAAUUGUGGUACAUCAUAACUAGAGGACCACACACACCCACAAUUAGUAUAGAAGGCACAAUCAUUCCCAAACCAGAAAUGGAUUGGAAUGAGAGUGAUAGAAGACUGGCACAACUAAAUGCUAAAGCAAUUAAUGUACUUUACUGUUCACUAGAUGUAAGUGAAUUCAAUAGAAUAUCUACAUGCAUCUCCGCGAAAGAAAUUUGGGAUAAACUGGAGGUCACACAUGAAGGAACUAAUCAAGUUAAGGAGUCAAAAAUAAACAUAUUAGUACAUAAGUAUGAGUUGUUUAAAAUGGAAUCCACUGAGUCCAUAACUGAAAUGUUUACUCGUUUCACUGAAAUCAUAAAUGGGCUAAAGAGUUUAGGAAAGUUUUAUACUAACUUUGAAUUGGUGCGAAAAAUUCUCAGGUCUCUACCAAGAGUUUGGAAGGCCAAGGUAAUAGCAAUUCAGAAAGCAAAGGAUCUCAAUACACUGCAAUUGGAGGAACUUCUAGGAUCACUCAUGACCCAUGAGUUGACCAUGAGGUAAAAUUCAGAAGAUGAGGUCAAGAGAAGAAAGACCAUUGCCUUAAAGUCUACCACUCCAAAACUGGAAAACUGAAUCGGAAGAAUCUGAUGAUGAGGAGGAAUUUGAUGAAGAAGGAAUGGCUAUGCUUGGAAGAAAAUUCAAAAAAUUUAUGAGGAAAGAGGAAAUUUCAUAAAAAGAAGCCCUUCUUCAAAGGUAGCUCAAGCAAAGAAAAGGGUAAGGACAAAGAAAAGGAAAAUGAAACACCAAUUUGCUAUGAGUGCAACAAGCCCGGGCAUUUCAUGAUAGAUUGUCCGGAAUUGAAGUGGAUGGCAAGAAAACUUAAGAAGAAGAACUUCAUGGCUGAAUGGAGUGAAAGUGAGGAGUCAAGUUCGAAAGAGGAAGAUCAAAAAGAGACGGCACAAACCUGCCAUAUGACCAAUGACGAUGAGGUAGAUUCUGAACUUGAAUGUAAUUUUACUGUUGAAGAAUUGCAUGAUGCAUUUUUAGAACUCAUUGAAGAACACAAAAAACUAAUCAAUAAAAAUAAAGUUCUAAAAGAUGAAAAUCAAUCUCUUAUCAAAGAUAAGCUGAAACUAUCUAAUAACUAUGAAACAUUAAGUAGGAGAUUCAUAAAUAAAACCAAGAAUCUAAUUGCUGAAAAUGUCAAGUUAAAAGAAGAUGCUGAAAAAUACAAAUUCUUAGUAGAUAAGUUUACACUUAGCUCAACCAAAUUAAAUAUGAUUCUUGAUAGUCAAAAAGCUGUAUAUGAUAAAAUUGGAUUAGGAUAUAAAACAAAUAGAAAACAAAAAUACUUAAAGAAUAUAUUUGUAAAAGCCAAAAAUGAAAAUAUAACUUGUCAUUGCUGCAAUAAAUUAGGACAUAAAGCAUAUGAAUGUAACUAUAGAAAGUCCAGCAACAACAAAUUGAGUAAUAACCAUAAGCUUAAAUUCAAGAAAGUUUGGGUUCCAAAAGGAACAUCAAGUACUAACCCUAAAGGACCCAACAUAGUUUGGGUACCUAAAGCUUAUUCUUGAACUUGAUUGCAGGGGUGUCUUGCAGCUAAUAAGGUGGAUAAACGAUGGUAUCUAGAUAGCGGCUGUUCAAGACACAUGACAGGUGACGUAGAAUAAUUUGUCACCUUGGAAUCUAAGAUGGGUGGAGUAGUAACCUAUGGAGACAAUGGAAAAGGAUUUAUCAUUGGAAAGGGUAAAAUUUUUAUUACUCUAUUUACCUUUAUAGAAAAUGUCUUAUUAGUUAAUGGUUUGAAACAUAACCUACUUAGCAUAAGUCAAUUCUAUGAUAAAGAUUUUAAAGUCACAUUUGAAGCCUCAGUAUGCAUAAUCACAAAUCCUAAAGAUAACAGCAUCGUACUUGUAGGGUAAAGGCAAAGAAAUAUUUACAUGGUAGAUCUUCAUGAAUUAGGCAAGAAAAAAGGAUUAUGUUUAAUUACUAAUGAAGAAAAGAAAAAUGAAACAAGUUGGGUUUGGCAUCGUAGACUAGGACAUGCUAGUAUGGACUUAAUAUCAAAACUAGUCAAGAAGAAAUUAAUAAAAGAUGUGCCAAAAUUGAUCUUUGAAAAUGACAAAAUCUGUGGACCAUGCUCAUUAGGUAAACAAACAAAAUCAUCCUUCAAAUCAAAAAAUGUAGUAUCAACCACUAGGCCUUUUGAACUCAUACACAUGGAUCUAUUUGGACCCACUAGAACCGCAAGUCUAGGAGGGAAGAAGUAUGGACUAGUUAUAGUAGAUGAUUUUUCAAGAUAUACAUGGGUUUCAUUUCUUGCACAUAAGAAUGAAACAUUUUCAGCAUUCUUAAAAUAUUAUAAGAAUAUCAUAACUGAAAAUAAGCUCACCUUAAUAGCAAUUCGAAGUGAUCAUGGAACUGAAUUUGAAAAUCAACACUUUGAAGAAUUUUGUAAUGAAAAUGGUAUCUCACAUCAAUUUUCAGCACCUAGAACGCCUCAACAAAAUGGAGUUGUUGAAAGAAAUAAUAGGACCUUGGCAGAAAUGGCACGCACAAUGUUGUGCGAGUCAAGUCUUCCAAAGUACUUUUGGGCUGAAGCUAUAAGUACUGCUUGCCAUAUUCUAAAUCGGGUUUUAAUACGACCUAUAACCAAGAAAACUCCUUAUGAACUUUGGAAGAAUAAGAAACCAACUGCUAAAUAUCUUAAAGUAUUUGGAUGUAGAUGUUUCAUUUUAAAUAAUGGCAAGAAGGAUCUAAGUAAAUUUGAUGCCAAGUCAGAUGAAAGUAUCUUCUUAGGAUACUCUACAUCUAGCAGGGCAUACAGAGUAUUCAACAAAAGAACUCUUGUAGUUGAAGAGUCAGUUAAUAUCAUUUUUGAUGAGUCUGAUAGUGAGUCUCCUAGGAGAGAAAAUAUUCUUGAUGAUGAUGCAGGAAUUAUUGACUUUGAAAAAUUGAAUCUUGAUGACGUGCCAAAUCAAGAGAUGGAAAAUGAUUGCGUGCCACCACAAUCUCAAGACUUGCCAAAGGAAUGGAGGUAUGCUUAUGGACACCCUAAAG